UGGCUCAGAACGAACGCUGGUGGCGUGUCUUAUACAUGCAAGUCGAGCGAGGCAGCAAUGCCGAGCGGCGAACGGGUGAGUAACGCGUAAGCAAUCUGCCCCAUAUCAGGAAAUACCCGUGCCAACGCGCGGUUAAUGUCCAGGAGAGUGGCCCUCUGCAUGGAGGGUUGACUAGAGAUUUAUCGGUAUGGGAUGAGCUUGCGUCCGAUUAGCUAGUUGGCGGGGCAACGGCCCACCAAGGCGACGAUCGGUAGCCGGCCUGAGAGGGUGAUCGGCCACAUUGGGACUGAGAUACGGCCCAGACUCCUACGGGAGGCAGCAGUAGGGAAUAUUGCACAAUGGGGGAAACCCUGAUGCAGCAACGCCACGUGUGGGAAGAAGCAUUUCGGUGUGUAAACCACUGUCAUGAGGGAAUAAGGCCCUUAUUCGUAAGGGAUUGAAUGUACCUUGAGAGGAAGCACCGGCAAACUUCGUGCCAGCAGCGGC
rnacentral:rRNA from 1 species